CCCUUAGAUGCUCUGGGCCGCACGCGCGCUACACUGGUCGAUGCAACGAGUUUCUUUCCUUGGCCGACAGGCCUGGGCAAUCUUUGAACAUCGAUCGUGAUCGGGAUAGAUCCUUGCAAUUUUUGAUCUUCAACGAGGAAUUCCUAGUAAACGCAAGUCAUCAGCUUGCAUUGAUUACGUCCCUGCCCUUUGUACACACCGCCCGUCGCACCUACCGAUUGAAUGGUCCGGUGAAUCUUUAGGACUGUGGCUGAGGCCUUGCCUUGUGCGGGUCUGGCCGUGGGAAUUUAGUUAAACCUUACCAUUUAGAGGAAGGUGAAGUCGUAACA
rnacentral:rRNA from 1 species